UACGAACUGUGCAAACGUUAUUCGGAAUCACUGGGCUUAAAGGGUGCGUAGGCGGCUAUCUAAGCAGGGUGUGAAAGCCCCCGGCUCAACCGGGGAAUUGCGCUCUGAACUGGAUGGCUGGAGUGAGAUAGGGGUGUGUGGAACUUCCAGUGGAGCGGUGAAAUGUGUUGAUAUUGGAAGGAACGCCGGUGGCGAAAGCGACACACUGGGUCUCAACUGACGCUGAGGCACGAAAGCCAGGGGAGCGAACGGG
rnacentral:rRNA from 1 species